rnacentral:snoRNA from 1 species
UCAUUUCUGCAGUAUGUAUCUCGUAAUUCCCAUCAAAUUGGUAGAGAUGCCAUCCGCGAUGAGUGGGAGACGGGCGAGCCGCGAGCGUGAAACAGUUCUUCGGAACUUGAUGACCGCACGGAGCCGAUGAAUUUUGGAGCCGUAGUGGCUUGCUCUUCUGAGCGGA